rnacentral:lncRNA from 1 species
GAGAGGUAACAUGCAAAGAGUGUAUAUGAUCAUAGCUUUGGUUAUCAUCAUCAAGCUAUCAAAAGUUAUAUACACAAGAGGAAAUGAUCUUGCACCUGCUCCAACAUUAGCCUCAGGACCUCAACAAGAGCAAGGACUUAUCCCUAAGCCUCAGGCUUGUCUGCACGACGUGGAAUCAAUUCCAGGUUGUAUAAAAGCAUUGAAACACUUCAAAUUCAAACAGGUCACGAAGAAGUGUUGUAACAUUGUACUCUCUCUUCCCGAAGAUUGUUUCGGGAUUUUAUUCCCUAUGCGUUUUGUCUUUCGUUUUCUUCUUAAGUUGGCUUGUAAAAUACUUAGUCACAUUGGAUAGUUUUUUUUCUGUAUUGUAUAUAUUUAUUUAGUUAGUUUCAGCAAAAAAUUAUAUAACUUAUGAACCAUUUUAUGAGAUGAUUUGUGAAAUAGAAACUUUUAUCUAACUAUGGCUACACAAUAUUGAAAAAAAAAAUCUCUUAUGAAGACUAUUUUUGAGGAAGAAAAAUAAUAAUUAUAAAGAUAGUAGAAUUAAACUGUUUGGAAAAUACGUAGUAUAAAAAAUAAAAAUAAAUAAAUAAAUAGAAAAAUGGUUGAGAAAAAUGUGAGUUUGCCACAUAAACACCAAAAAAUCUCUUUAAAAAUAUAUUAUAUGUGCUUUCAUAUCUACAUAUAGUGAAUCCUAGUAUUAAAUAAACAGGAAAUAAGUUAAUUUCCCUUGAAUAACUAAAGUGUUUUUAAAUCUAAAAGAGAAAUAAAGUUUUUUAUUAUUCAUGUAAAAAUAAUUAAGUUCCCCUAUAUAUAAAAAAAACUUUAAUUAUUUUAAUUAAGUAUUCUUUUAGUAUAUAUUAAUGAGGUGAAAAAUAUUAUCACCAUGUGUACUUAAAUGCAUGAAUAAACACAGAUUGUGUUGACAAAAGAAAAAAAAAACAUAAUGUAGAUUGUGUUUUUGAGAAAAAAAAAGAGAAAAGAAAAACUAUAUAAAAUGCUAACCAAAAAAUCCAACCAUAUAUAGAAGUUUAUUAAUACUAAGGGCAUGUGCAUCAAUGGUAUUUCCCCCAGUCCCUCACGUUAAACGAGAAGAAAAAAAAAACCAUAAAACAUUAAACUUUACCAUCGUAUAUUACUAUUAGCGGACCCCACUGACACGUGGUGGCUCUUGAAUGAUUAUCGUUUUUUUUUUUUUUAAUUUAAAAUAAAGAAAAAAAAAUGUUGGUAGGACGUCAAACGGCUGCGCUUGCUCUAAGAAACAAUCAAACAAGGAGCUAAAACAUACAAAUAAUGUUGACUUUGACUAUGAUCUUGCACUCGUACCAUCGAUGGUAAUGGCACCAGGACCAUCGGUGGCAGUGGCACCACGACCAUCG